GCAUCGAUGAAGAACGCAGCGAACUGCGAUAAGUAGUGUGAAUUGCAGAAUUCAGUGAAUCAUCAAACUCUUGAACGCACAUGGCGCCCUGUGGCAACGCAGGGCACGCCUGUUUGAGCCUCGGUAUUCAACCUCACCCAACACCUAGUGUUUGGAGUGGACGUGGAGAUUGAAUUUGCCUUCAUUCUCUGAAACGGAGCUGCAAAGCUCGAAUGGUUGACUCGUCAAACCGGUUUGAGUUACUCAGUUGCUGAUGGCCUAGCCAACUCUAACUGAAUCGGAUCGUUCUUUUGGCGUGCGCCCUUUCGACGCGAUGCAUGAUGUGACCUCGUGUCACCCCUUCAACUUUCGAGCUCAAAUCAGGCGAGACUACCCGCUGAAUUUAAGCAUAUCAAUAAGCGGAGGA
rnacentral:rRNA from 1 species